rnacentral:rRNA from 1 species
UACAGAGGUCUCGAGCGUUAGGCGGAAUCACUGGGCUUAAAGCGUGUGUAGGCGGAUCUUUAAGUACCUUGUGAAAUCCCACGGCUUAACCGUGGAACUGCUUGGUAUACUGGCGGGCUUGAGCCACUUAGGGGCUACCGGAACAAAUGGUGGAGCGGUGAAAUGCGUAGAUAUCAUUUGGAACGCCAAUGGUGAAAACAGGUAGCUGGGAGUGUGCUGACACUGAGACACGAAAGCCAGGGGAGCAAACGGG